AUAUAACAAGCUCCUUUGUGUCAUGCAACACAUGUGUUUCCACACACCAAAUGCAACACUGAGCAACCAGAGCUGUUUCUCCUUUUCUUCUUCGCCACUUCCUUCCUUCGUGGAGGCUGAAGAACGACCUUAACUGCGGUAUCGAAAACAGCCUUGAUAUUCUGUUGUGUCUUAGAACUGCAUUCAACAUAUGCUGCAGCACCAAUUUGUCUCCUAA
rnacentral:misc_RNA from 1 species